CAUGACAGAAAUGACUUUAGGAAGUGUGUGUUUUGUGCCAGGUGCAUAACACUGCUAUACAGUACAUAGUAAUGGCUACUGCAUUGUUCAUAUAGUAAAGGCAAGGUGACCCAAUGCAUAAAGGUCACCCAGAGGCUGGGUGCUGUGGCUGAAACUCAAACCAAGGCAGUCUGGUUGUAGAACCUGUUUUCAUGGCGACACUCCCACAAAGGACAUCUGUCAUCUGCUGGGCUAUAACAUCCCAGCCUUUCUACUACCUGACACGAGGACAUGUGGUUUCUUCAUGGUCAAAGUGUAGACUGAAGCAAGACCUUCCUUCAUCUUCAUGAUUUGAUGGUUGUUCUCACAAGGAGCCGGGUCUGCAUAAUUGUAUCAGUAAUCAGCAGUAAGGCAAUUAGUUGUAAAGAAGAAAAAUGUGCUUUGGAGCUUAGCACAGACCGGUGUUACAAGACGCAGGAAGGCCGAGGAUGGACAUUAACAAGGAAAUCUAGGUCACAGUCACGAUUGACAGAGGAUGGAAUGGAUGACAAACAGACCAAAAAAAUAGACAAUUGCUGGAAUAUUUGAUAAUCUGUAAUAAGCCCAUAGAGAAAUUCCAUAUGAAACUCUGGACCAUAAAGUUGAAGCCCUUAGCAUGAAAA